rnacentral:rRNA from 1 species
CCAGCAGCUGCGGUAAUUCCAGCUCCAUGAGCGUAUAUUUAAGUUGUUGCUGUUAAAAAGUUCGUAGUCGGAUUUUACACACUCAACCGUGGUCUCUCAAGAUGAGAAGCACCGCGGCUGUGCGUGUUAUUAGUAGGAUAAUAAGGGCAGUUCUAUUAACUUAGGAUUGUUUCUUUUAUUCUUCGUUUACUUUGAAAAAAUGAGGAUGUUCAAAAUAGGCUAUUUCAAGCCGUUGAAUCGUAAAGCAUGGGAUAACAGAACAAGAUUUUUUUCUUAUUUUGUUGGUUUUGAAGAAAAAGAUAAUGAUCAACAGAAACGGUUGGGGAUAUUAGUACUUAGAAGUCAGAGGUGAAAUUCUUAGAUUUUCUAAAGACUGACUUAGGCGAAAGCAUCUAUCAAGGACGUUUUCA